rnacentral:misc_RNA from 1 species
UACGAAUGGGGCAAGCGUUGUUCGGAAUCACUGGGCUUAAAGCGUACGUAGGCGGACAUGCAAGUCAGAAGUGAAAUCCCAGGGCUCAACCCUGGAAUUGCUUUUGAAACUGUAGGUCUAGAAUCCGGGAGAGGUUGGCGGAAUUCCGAGUGUAGAGGUGAAAUUCGCAGAUAUUCGGAGGAACACCAGUGGCGAAGGCGGCCAACUGGACCGGUAUUGACGCUCAGGUACGAAAGCGUGGGGAUCAAACAGG